rnacentral:hammerhead_ribozyme from 1 species
UCACUACUGAGGAGUCCCAUACUAGGACGAAACGGCCGUCCAAUGC